rnacentral:rRNA from 1 species
UACGGAGGGUGCAAGCGUUAUCCGGAUUCACUGGGUUUAAAGGGCGCGUAGGUGGGUUGGUAAGUCAGUGGUGAAAUCCCCGAGCUUAACUCGGAAACUGCCGUGGAUACUCUCUGUCUUGAAUCCCGUGGAGAUGAGCGGAAUAUGUCAUGUAGCGGUGAAAUGCUUAGAUAUGACAUAGAACACCAAUUGCGAAGGCAGCUCGUUACACGAAGAUUGACUCUGAGGCACGAAAGCGUGGGGAUCAAACAGG